GUGGCGUUUGGCUAUAAAUGAGCGCCCCCCCCCCCUCCUCCUUCCUUCCCUGGCCUCCCUUUGUAGAUUGAUCCAGGGUAGUUUACAGUACUCGACCAAUCAACUCGCUCUGAUAGGACUGGCGUCUGGAGGAGUUCGAGGAUCGCUCGCAAAUGGAGCCGGCGGCGCGGGUUGCAGCUGGUUCCACAGGCAAGGAGGAGGAGGUUAUUAUUUCCGUUGUGACGUCGGCACUUCGAGGCUAGUUCGGAGUCGGUUCCCAGGCACCAUCUAACCCAGACGUCCGCCUGAGCCCUUCGUGGCUAGUGUCAU
rnacentral:lncRNA from 1 species